rnacentral:rRNA from 1 species
AGCAGCCGCGGUAAUUCCAGCUCCAAUAGCGUAUAUUAAAGUUGUUGCAGUUAAAAAGCUCGUAGUUGAAUUUCGAGACCGGUUUAUUGGUCGUGCUUUUGUACGUACUGGUAUUAUUGGUUUCUCCUUUCUGACGAAUCUUAAUGCCAUUAAUUUGGUGUUUUGGGGAAUCAGGACUGUUACUUUGAAAAAAUUAGAGUGUUUAAAGCAGGCUCACGCUUGAAUACAUUAGCAUGGAAUAACGGAAUAGGACGUUUGAUUCUAUUUUGUUGGUUUCUAGGAUCGACGUAAUGAUUAAUAGGGAUAGUUGGGGGCAUUAGUAUUCAAUUGUCAGAGGUGAAAUUCUUGGAUUUAUUGAAGACUAACUACUGCGAAAGCAUUUGCCAAGGAUGUUUUCAUUAAUCAAGAACGAAAGUUAGGGGAUCGAAGACGAUCAGAUACCGUCGUAGUCUUAACCAUAAACUAUGCCGACUAGGGAUCGGAUGAUGUUAAUUUUUAAUGACUCAU